GAUGAACGCUGGCGGCGUGCCUAAUACAUGCAAGUCGAGCGAACAGACGAGGAGCUUGCUCCUCUGACGUUAGCGGCGGACGGGUGAGUAACACGUGGAUAACCUACCUAUAAGACUGGGAUAACUUCGGGAAACCGGAGCUAAUACCGGAUAAUAUAUUGAACCGCAUGGUUCAAUAGUGAAAGACGGUUUUGCUGUCACUUAUAGAUGGAUCCGCGCCGCAUUAGCUAGUUGGUAAGGUAACGGCUUACCAAGGCAACGAUGCGUAGCCGACCUGAGAGGGUGAUCGGCCACACGAGAACUGAGACACGGUCCAGACUCCUGCGGGAGGCAGCAGUAGGGAAUCGUCCGCAAUGGGCGAGAGCCUGACGGAGCAACGCCGCGUGAGUGAUGAAGGUCUUCGGAUCGUAAAACUCUGUUAUUAGGGAAGAACAAAUGUGUAAGUAACUAUGCACGUCUUGACGGUACCUGAUCAGAAAGCCACGGCUAACUACGUG
rnacentral:rRNA from 1 species